UUUAUGGAGAGUUUGAUCCUGGCUCAGGAUGAACGCUGGCGGCGUGCCUAAUACAUGCAAGUCGAGCGAACUGACGAGGAGCUUGCUCCUUUGACGUUAGCGGCGGACGGGUGAGUAACACGUGGGUAACCUACCUAUAAGACUGGAAUAACUCCGGGAAACCGGGGCUAAUGCCGGAUAACAUAUCGAACCGCAUGGUUCGAUAGUGAAAGACGGUUUUGCUGUCACUUAUAGAUGGACCCGCGCCGUAUUAGCUAGUUGGUGAGGUAACGGCUCACCAAGGCGACGAUACGUAGCCGACCUGAGAGGGUGAUCGGCCACACUGGAACUGAGACACGGUCCAGA
rnacentral:rRNA from 1 species